GACGAACGCUGGCGGCGUGCUUAACACAUGCAAGUCGAACGAAGUGGCGAACGGGUGAGUAACGCGUAAUCAACCUGCCCUUCCGAGGGGGACAACAGUUGGAAACGACUGCUAAUACCGCCUAAUGAAGGAGGGGAUUGCGUCUGAUUAGCUAGUUGGCGGGGUAACGGCCCACAAAGGCGCUGAUCAGUAGCCGGUCUGAGAGGAUGAACGGCCACAUUGGGACUGAGACACGGCCCAGACUCCUACGGGAGGCAGAAGGGGGGAAUCUUCCGCAAUGGACGAAAGUCUGACGGAGCAACGCCGCGUGAGUGAGGACGGCCUUCGGGUUGUAAAGCUCUGUUAAUCGGGACGCGGUACCGGAAUAGAAAGCCACGGCUAACUACGUGCCAGCAGCCGCGGUAAUAC
rnacentral:rRNA from 1 species